rnacentral:lncRNA from 7 species
AUCGCCAGUCGUACGCCGUACGCCCUUUCGAGGGCCCGGAAGGGCGACGAGGAUGAAGGAUUGAAGGCGAACCGGCACCGCUCAUGCCGACACGCCCGAGCCGUACGUGCGCACGUGAGCACAUCUCAUGCCGCACCGCACGGGACCGCACGAGGCAGGCACGACGCCGCCUAGCACAACAGCUUAAGGAUUACGACGAUCUUCGGCGGCGGGCGGCCUCAAAAUCUGCGGCGGCGCCCCGCUCCCGCUGCCCGCUCUAGACGAAAGCGACCACACGCCGUCGCAGCGGUCCAGAUCCUUGCUGUCUGGCGCGGCCGACCCCUGGCGUAAGAUCAGUAGCAGAUUCGUUCUUGAUUAGUGGCAGGCGCGUCUUGGAGUCUAGUCUGGCUGGCCUCUCCAACACCCUUGGUCGGCUGGCCAUGGAGUUGGCAAGUGGCCUGUUCGUAAUCGUACGUGUCGCAACUUGAAAGCAGGCGUUAUUGAGAGUACACCGUAAAAACGCCAGGCUCCAAGCAGGUCGCGCACCUCUCCAAAGCGCAGUAAAAGAUUAUCAGUACGGUCUAGCCCGCUAGUGAUGAGAAAAUCCAGUUAAUGUCAUCCAAAUUUAUACUAAUCCAUUCAAUGCCAUCAGAAUUUAUAGCUUCUCUUCAGUACUAUCAAUUUUAAAUUUUAAUCAGUUGAAUGUC